UUGGAAGGAAAGCUGUAUAUGUUGUAAUAGGAGAUGGUGUUGAAGAGGAACAGGGGGCAAAAAAGCACAACAUGCCAUUUUGGAGAAUCUCCUGUCAUGCUGACCUGGAGGCUCUCAGGCACGCUCUAGAACUUGAAUACUUGUAGCAGACCCCAACAUCUCAGUGCUGGGCAAGCAUCACUCCGAGAGACAUCAGCUCAACUUAUUCUUUGGUAUUUUAUAUAAUUGAUCUUACAACAACUGCAAUCGUCUUUCUUCAAGGGGAACCUUUAAGAGUCUGCAUCAGGAAAUCAGUGUAUCAAAUCCUUCUUCCAUUGGGUGGAGAGAAAAACCUCCUGAUCACUCAAUGGGGAUCCUUCAGUUUUAUGGCUAAAAUGGAUUUUUAGAGCUGAAACUGGACUCUUGACUGUUUUAUUGCCACGUGAAUGACUUUGAAGCACACAAAAGACUUAAGGUCCUGGUUCUACUUGUCAGUUUUCUUGCUUUGAAAAAGGGAGAAAGGACACAGCAUGGAAUUUUGGGCAUCACUGGACUCUUCAUUACAUCAUGUGGGACUUCCUGAAAAUAAGAGUGAAAUAGUUGGGGGUUUUGUAUUUUUUUUUAAUUUAUGAACUAAUCUCAUUACUCUGGUAUUAAGCGCUGUACCUGUGUUGCUAUCUUCUUUUGGGGGGAGGGUAAGGGGUCCUACAAUUCUAAUUUAAUAGUUCUUUUCUCCACGAGAAACUGUGGACAAUCAUAUUGUGUACAUUAUUAAUGAGAUCUUUGGGAACUGUUGGUAAGAAUUAUAGCUAUGUUUUUUAAACGUGAUUUAGAUGGUAUGUGAACUGUGCAUGUGUCUAAACUGUGCCUUAUGCUGCCAUCUUCUUUUUGGCAGGUGGGGAGAAGUAGCUUGUGAUGAAUGAAAGGCAUUAAAUAAAACUACGUUUACAUUUUUGGGGAGUAGAA